rnacentral:rRNA from 1 species
AUGGCGAACCUGGCGGUGGGGCUGGCCAAGUCGGUGGUGGAGGGGACGCUGAGCAAGGCGCACGCGGCGGUGCAGGAGGAGGCCAAGCUGCGCCUCAGCGCGCGCCGCGACCUCGUCUUCAUCACCGGCGAGCUCGAGAUGAUGCGGUCGUUUCUCAACGUCGCCAACGCGGAGCGCGUCGAGAACGCCGUGGUGCGCACCUGGGUGCGCCAGAUCCGCGAGCUCGCCUACGACGUUGAGGACUGCAUCGAGCUCGUCGUCCACCUCGACAAAGGGAGGACCAGCUUCUGGUUCCGCCUCCGCCGGCUCUGCGUCCCCUGGACGCGCCCGCCGCGGCCGCCGGCGCUGGAUCAGGCGGUCGAUGAGAUCGAGCAGCUCAAGGCCAGGGUCGCCGACGUCAGCACCAGGAACGCGCGCUACAGCCUCAUCAGCGACACUGGAUCCAAGCCCGUGGCGCAGCAGCAGCUGACGGCGGCCGCUGCCGCCGGCGACACGGUGGCCGCGUCCAACAUGCUCGCUGAGGCAAGGUAUGCCGCCAUGAGAGAGCAGGUCCUCGGCAGCGAUCUCACCCAGCUAGUCACCAAAGAAGGCGGUGACGGCCACGACCUUCAGCUUCAUGUGGUCUCGGUGUGGGGGUCAGCCGGCUUCCACGGUGCCACAUCCAUCAUCACCAAGGCCUACAGUGACCCAGAGAUCUGCAGAAACUUCACCUACCGCGCCUGGGUGAAGCUCAUGCAUCCCUUCAUUCCGCACGACUUCGUCCGGAGCUUGAUGCUUCAGUUCUGCGCAGAAGAAGAAGAACAUGAAGGACCGGACACAUGUAUGGAUGUCCUAACGAUGAUGCAGGCCACCCAGGAGGUCCUCUUUAAGGAAUUCAAGAAGAUGCUCACGGAGAAGAGUUACCUCGUUGUCUUGGAAGACCUCUCAAACAUGGCUGACUGGCAUGCUUUGAGGAAGUUCCUUCCAGACAGGAGGAAAGGCAGCUGGAUCAUCGUGUCCACGCAGCAACCUGAAGUAGCAAGCUCGUGCAUCGGGCACCCAUACCAGAUACUGGAGCUCAAGCAGUUCUCGCCCGAGCACUCUGUUUGUGCCCUCUUCAAGAAGGGUUCUGAUGGCGAUGGAGAUAAAGGCAAGAAAACAAUGGUGGAAGAUUCUCCCCUCAUUGGACGUGAGUCGCUAAUGAAUCAACUUCGUCAAUAUCCAGCAAAAGCACGUAUAAAUUCUUGGCAGGUGAUGUCUGUGUGGGGAAUAGCCGGUGUUGGGAAGUCGACUCUCGUGAGAAAGUUGUAUGAUGACACAAUGCGCGACACAAACCUAUUCACAGAGUACCAUUGGGUGAAUAUAUCUCAUCCAUUCAAUUUAAGGGACUUCCAAAGGAGCUUACCUCCGAAUUUUCGUUUUGCGGAAUUAGGUUGGCUCAUUGUUAUUGAUAAUGUCCAGUCCAAGAAGGAAUGGGACUUGAUACAAACUUCCUUGGUAAUACCUAGAUCUUCUAAGAGCGUUGUCAUUGUCAUCACAACCGAAGCAAGCAUUGCCGCAUAUUGCGCGAAUCGCGAAGAGCUUGUGUUUAAUGUCAAAGGUCUGGAAGCUGCUGCAGCCUCAACUCUCUUUGAAAAGGUAUACCUGGAAAAAUCAUCAGACACAGACACAAGAGCUCUACAAUAUAUCCAAGUAGAAGAACUUAUUUUGAAGUGUGGAGGUCUUCCCAAAGUGAUAGUUGCUAUAGCUGCCGUAUUGGCCAAACAAACGGUCACAAGGAUGGAUACUGUGGUUUCUUUAAAUCAAAGAUUUAUGCACCACCUGGAGACUGAGCCGGACUAUGAUAGUCUAUGUGAUCUAUUUGGUUGGAUGCAUUCCUAUUUCCGUACUUGCACUGAUUCAAUCAAGCCAUGUAUCUUCUACCUGUCGAUCUUUCCUCGAGACCGCCUCAUUCGGCGAAGGCGAUUAGUAAGGCGGUGGAUUGCAGAGGGAUACUCUAGAGACGGCGACAAUGAAUCUGCAGAGGAGAAUGGGGAGAGGCAGUUCUCCGAGCUCCUUGAUCUGAGCAUAAUCCAGCAGGUGCCAUACUUAGUCACAAACACAUUGAAUGCCACAAGAUUGGCGCUGCUGUGUCAGGUCAGUGGUUUUUUCCACGAGUACAUCAUCCCGGGCCAAGAAGAAGAAAACCUUAUGUUUGAGCUGGGGCCUAAUUGUGCCCUAACCACCCAGCGCACAGGGCGUCACCUUGUCAUAUUGCACGACUGGAAGAGGGACAAAAUUGUGUUUGAGAGCAUGGAUUUCUCGCGGCUUAGGUCACUGACGGUGUUUGGCAGGUGGAAACCAUUCUUCAUCUCUGAAAGUAUGAUGCUUCUUCGGGUGCUUGAUCUAGAGGAUGCAUCAGGUAUAGAGUAUGCGGAUCUUGAGAACAUAUUAAAAUGGCUGCGUCGUCUCAAGUUCCUUUCACUACGAGGACGGCACGAGAUACACCAUCUUCCAGAUAAUAUGGAUCAUCUGAGGCAGCUGCAGACUUUGGAUGUCAGGGGCACCUCCGUACUCACCCUGCCAGAGAACAUCACCAAGUUGCAGAAGCUACAGUACAUACGUGCCGGCGCCACUUGCCCAGCUGCAUCAGCACCACCUGCUCCAUCCAGCUGGUUCUGCACACCUCACCGUAUAGUUGGUGUUCAGGUGCCUGGAGGCAUUGGGAAACUGACGGCGUUGCACACGCUUGGUGUCGUCAACAUUUCUGCUUCUGGUGGGAAGGCCAUGGCGAAAGCUCUCAAGAAGCUCACCCAGUUGCGCAAGCUCGGAGUGUCCGGCGUUAACAGGAAGAACAGCAAGGAUAUUUUCUCUGCAAUCCAGGGUCAUGUUCAUCUGGAAUCCUUGUCUGUCCAGCUUGACAAGGACAACCAAGGCUGUUGCUUGGAUGAUCAGACAUCCUUGCCUUGGAAUAAUCUACGGAGUCUUAAACUGUACGGGCUUCAAGAUAGGUUGCCGUUGUCAAGCGGCCUUGGCUCUGACCAAGGAGUAUUGAGCGACACACUUAUCAAACUCAGGAAGAUGGAUCUGGAGAUGUCCACUUUGAAAGAACGAGACAUUAAGUUCCUCGGCGAGGUACCAAAUCUAUGUAUUCUACGCCUUCGUAUCAAGCAGCCCAGUCCAGUUUAA